AUUGAACGCUGGCGGCAUGCCUUACACAUGCAAGUCGAACGGCAGCACGGGUGCUUGCACCUGGUGGCGAGUGGCGAACGGGUGAGUAAUACAUCGGAACGUACCUUAUCGUGGGGGAUAACGCAGCGAAAGCUGUGCUAAUACCGCAUACGCCCUGAGGGGGAAAGCGGGGGAUCGCAAGACCUCGCGCGAUUAGAGCGGCCGAUGCCUGAUUAGCUUGUUGGUGGGGUAAAAGCCCACCAAGGCGACGAUCAGUAGCUGGUCUGAGAGGACGAUCAGCCACACUGGGACUGAGACACGGCACAGACUCCUACGGGAGGCAGCAGUGGGGAAUUGUGGACAAUGGGGGCAACCCUGAUCCAGCAAUGCCGCGUGAGUGAAGAAGGCCUUCGGGUUGUAAAGCUCUUUUGUCAGGGAAGAAACACCGGCUCUAACACAGUCCGGGAAUGACGGUACCUGAAGAAUAAGCACCGGCUAACUACGUGCCAGCCGCCGCGGUAA
rnacentral:rRNA from 1 species